AAUUUUUUUUAUGCUACAAGUACUAUGCGUACUCUUGCCUCUAGCUUAAAUACAGUGAAUGUUGUAGUUGGUUGCACAGGAAUUGUCUCAGAACAUUAAAGCAAGGCAAACACGAUUGUAUUCCAACUAAAAUUGCUCUCUUUAUACCGUGUAUUGAAACUUGAUAACUGUUGGUUAUAAAAUUCCUUUGAUUUUCUGUAGGUAAUAAAAUACUUUGGCAAUUACUAUUGACAGUUCUGGAUAAUCUUGAAGCCUGCCUUGCCUGAAGAAGAUGAGUGUUACAAAUCACCCCACUGAAAGAGGGAAGAACAGCAGCAGGCAGCAGACAGGCUAAACCUUUCUGGUGGACGCCGACAACAGCCCUCUUGCACAGCACCAUGAGAAGUCGGUCCAAAAUGACAACUGCGUUGUAAGAGAAUGGGAAGAGACAUCUUUCUGUUUUUCUUUCUUUCUUUCUUUCUUUCUUUUUUUUUAAAGAAAAUUUAGAAGGCUUCAUGUCCAUUCACUUCAGUCAAUUAAGUUCAAAAUUCAUGUACGCUUCCACAACAACAACAAAAAGUGUUCUUACAGGGGAAAAAGCAGCUGAAUAUACCUUGGCUUCAAUUUUCCUGAGGACUUCAAGAGAUGGUGGAGGAUGCUACUUCAUACUCAAACCUCUGCUAGGGGGCUGGCAGCCUAGCAGAGAGUGAACCAUGGUCAUAUCCACAGAGCUGUGUCUCAACCAUUGAAAAGCUUUACCUCUGCUAAGGAUAAAGAAUGAAGAGCCAGUAGUGUUUUUCACUAUAUUCUAUUUUAAUUAUAUCUGAAGAAAUUACAAAUGUUUUUGCUACACACCCAAUCAU